rnacentral:rRNA from 1 species
UACGUAGGGUGCGAGCGUUGUCCGGAAUUAUUGGGCGUAAAGGGCUCGUAGGCGGUUUCUUAAGUCAGGCGUGAAACCAUUCGGCUAAACCGGGUGUAGUCGUCUGAGACUGGGAGACUAGAGUGUGGUAGAGGCGUGUAGAAUUCCGGGUGUAGUGGUGAAAUGCGUAGAUAUGCGGAGGAACACCGAUGGCGAAGGCAAUCCCCUGGGCCUGCACUGACGCUCAUGCACGAAAGCGUGGGGAGCAAACAGG